AACCAGCACCUCAAGUGGUCAGGAUGAUUAUUGGGCCUAAAGCAUCCGUAGCCGGCUCUGUAAGUUUUCGGUUAAAUCUGUACGCUCAACGUACAGGCUGCCGGGAAUACUGCAGAACUAGGGAGUGGGAGAGGUAGACGGUACUCGGUAGGAAGUGGUAAAAUGCUUUGAUCUAUCGAUGACCACCUGUUGCGAAGGCGCCACACUAGAACGGAUCCGACGGUCAGGGACGAAGCCUAGGGGCACGAACCGG
rnacentral:rRNA from 1 species